rnacentral:rRNA from 1 species
GAUGAACGCUAGCUAUAGGCUUAACACAUGCAAGUCGAGGGACCGGCGCACGGGUGAGUAACGCGUAUCCAACCUGCUCAUAACUAAGGGAUAACCCAGCGAAAGUUGGACUAAUACCUUAUGGUUAUGGAUGGGGAUGCGUCUGAUUAGCUUGUUGGCGGGGUAACGGCCCACCAAGGCAACGAUCAGUAGGGGUUCUGAGAGGAAGGUCCCCUGCGUUGGAACUGAGACACGGUCCAAACUCCUACGGGGGGGAGCAGUGAGGAAUAUUGGUCAAUGGGCGCAGGUCUGAACCAGCCAAGUAGCGUGCAGGAGGAGGGCCUAGGGGUUGUAAACUAGUUUUGUAUGGGGAUAGGUACCAUAUGAAUAAGGACCGGCUAAUUCCGUGCCAGCAGCCGCGGUAAUUC